rnacentral:rRNA from 1 species
GACGAACGCUGGCGGCAUGCCUAACACAUGCAAGUCGAACGAAGACUUCGGGCUUAGUGGCGCACGGGUUCGUAACGCGUGGGAAUCUGCCCCUUGCUUUGGCAUACCUGUUAGAAAUGACUGCUAAUACCGGAUGAAGUCUUCGGCCCAAUGAUAUAUCGGCCAGUGUUGAGCCCACGUAGGAUUAGGUAGUUGGUGGGGUAAAGGACUACCAAGCCGGCGAUCCUUAGCUGGUCUGAGUGGAUGGUCAGCAACACUGGGACUGAGACACGGCCCAGACUCUCACGAGAGGCAGCAGGGGUGAAGAUGGGACACUGGACGCAAGACGGAGCCAGCAAGGCCGCGUGAGUGAGGUAUGCCGUAGGGUUGUAAAGCUCUGUACCAGGGAUGAUAAUGACAGUACCUGGAGAGUAAGCGCCGGCUAACUCCGUG